rnacentral:lncRNA from 1 species
UCUACACUUAUUAAUGUCAGCCUUAUUGUUUAUUAACAUCUGUACUACUUCAGUAUGUCCUUUCUGACAAGCAACGUACAGAGGUGAUACUCCAUCAUCUCUACACUUAUUAAUGUCAGCCUUAUUGUUUAUUAACAUCUGUACUACUUCAGUAUGUCUCUUCCUGACAGCAAUGAACAGAGGUGAUACUCCAUCAUUAUCUCUACACUUAUUAAUGUCAGCCUUAUUGUUUAUUAACAUCUGUACUACUUCAGUAUAUGUCCUUCCUGCACAAGCAUGAACAGAGGUGAUAUUCCAUCUUUCGACAAUGGUUUACAUUACUGUUACAAUGAUAUAAGCACCAUGCAACCAGAUCAAUAUCUCCUAUAUAACAACACUGUAUUAAUGGUGUGCUAUUGUUUUGUGUGUUAUAUAGACUAGCCAAUUGUUUUGUUUUGAUAUUUCUAAACCUUUUAAAUGUACAAGGAUUCUUUGUCUGAAGAUUUGAUCAUCCAUAUUGAUGUUACAGAAGACAUCUACUAUCUUUCCUCUAAACCAGUCAUCUAUCAAUCUAUUUAUAUACAUUUGCUGAUAUCUUUCUGAUACAUCUAUUAAAAAUUCAUCUCUGUUGCCUUUAUUUUUAAAAACAAAUCUUUCACGAAUAAAAUGACUUGAAGCAUUAUUAAUUAAACAAUAAAUCAUAACACUGCCAAAGUAAAAAGCAAGAAAGUCAAACAGCUUGUCAUGAAUAGUUCUGUAUAAUUCACCAUCCUUUCUGAUAAACGUAUGAGUUAGUGAAUCCAGCUCAUCACGAAGUACCAAUCUAGAAGUUCCUUUCACCACUUUACAAGCUUCAA